rnacentral:rRNA from 1 species
CUCUUACAGAAAUUAUUGUAAGUAAAGUCUGCUCAAUGAUUCUUCAAUAGCCGCAUCAUAUGUGCUAAGGUAGCAUAAUCACUUGCCUUAUAAUUUAAGGAUAGAAUGAACGACACCACACUUAUAUAAUUUUCUUAACAAUUUAUUUUUAACCUUCUAUUUUAGUAAAAAUUCUAAAAUCUUAAAGAAAGACGACAAGACCCUAUUGAACUUUACUUUAGUUUAACUGGGGUAGUUUAUUAAUUAAUAUUUUAAUUUUACCUUUAUAAAUUGACCUAAUCUAAUUAAACUAAUAAUCAAGUUACCAUAGGGAUAACAGCGUAAUAUUUUUACAAAGUUCUUAUUUAAAAAAAUUUUUGCGACCUCGAUGUUGAAUAAUUUUCUAUUAAGUGCAAUAACUUAAUAAGAUGGUCUGUUCGACCAUUAAACAAUUACA